rnacentral:tRNA from 1 species
UAAUAAGAAGCAAUUAAUUGCACUCAGUUUCGACCUGAACCUCGAUGAAUAAAUCAUCCUUAUUAA